rnacentral:rRNA from 1 species
GGUUGGAGUGGUAAAAGCACACCAAGGCGACGAUCAGUAGCUGGUCUGAGAGGAUGAGCAGCCACACUGGAACUGAGACACGGUCCAGACUCCUACGGGAGGCAGCAGUGGGGAAUUUUCCGCAAUGGGCGCAAGCCUGACGGAGCAAUACCGCGUGAGGGAGGAAGGCUCUUGGGUUGUAAACCUCUUUUCUAGGGAAGUAAAAAAUGACGGUACCUAAGGAAUCAGCAUCGGCUAACUCCGUGCCAGCAGCCGCGGUAAUACGGAGGAUGCAAGCGUUAUCCGGAAUCAUUGGGCGUAAAGCGUCCGCAGGUGGUCAGACAAGUCUGCCGUUAAAGCGUGGAGCUUAACUCCAUAAAGGCGGUGGAAACUGUCAGACUAGAGUUCGGUAGGGGUAGCAGGAAUUCCCAGUGUAGCGGUGAAAUGCGUAGAGAUUGGGAAGAACAUCGGUGGCGAAGGCGUGCUACUGGGCCGAAACUGACACUCAGGGACGAAAGCUAGGGGAGCGAAAGGGAUUAGAUACCCCUGUAGUCCUAGCUGUAACGAUGGAUACUAGGCGUAGUCUGUAUCGACCCGGACUGUGCCGAAGCUAACGCGUUAGUAUCCCGCCUGGGGAGUACGCACGCAAGUGUGAAACUCAAAGGAAUUGACGGGGGCCCGCACAAGCGGUGGAGUAUGUGGUUUAAUUCGAUGCAACGCGAAGAACCUUACCAGGGCUUGACAUGUCGCGAAUCCCCUUGAAAGGGGGGAGUGCCUUCGGGAGCGCGAACACAGGUGGUGCAUGGCUGUCGUCAGCUCGUGUCGUGAGAUGUUGGGUUAAGUCCCGCAACGAGCGCAACCCUCGUUUUUAGUUGCCAGCAUUAAGUUGGGCACUCUAGAAAGACUGCCGGUGACAAACCGGAGGAAGGUGGGGAUGACGUCAAGUCAGCAUGCCCCUUACGCCCUGGGCUACACACGUACUACAAUGGUUGGGACAAAGGGCAGCCAACUCGCAAGAGUGAGCGAAUCUCAUCAAACCCAGCCUCAGUUCGGAUUGCAGGCUGCAACUCGCCUGCAUGAAGGAGGAAUCGCUAGUAAUCGCAGGUCAGCAUACUGCGGUGAAUCCGUUCCCGGGCCUUGUACACACCGCCCGUCACACCAUGGAAGCUGGCCACGCCCGAAGUCGUUACUCCAACCGUCAAAGGAGGAGGAUGCCGAAGGCAGGGCUAGUGACUGGGGUGAAGGCGAAACAAGGUAGCCGUACCGGAAGGUGUGGCU